rnacentral:lncRNA from 1 species
CCCGGGUGAAAUGCUACAAUGGUAUAUCCGUGCGCUUGCGGAUCAUAUCUGUAACCAUAAUAUAACAGGAUUAUUUCUAGUGCUAUUGCUGGGAAUUAUAUUUCCAAUAGUGUUGCUAAGAAAUACCAACAAAGUGCUCAUGUCCACCGCGUCAUGCACGAUUGCGAACGCGUGGCCGGUGACAGCGGCAACGGUGGGCAUUGGGAGUGCAACGAGGUCGGCAACCAGUCCCGAGGGGCACCGCCUAUGGAGACAAAGCCAUUGGAGAAGCACUUCUCCUUGGUGGCAAUCACUGGUGCACUGGCACCCACAGUGGCGCAGACAUGAGGGCCAGGCCAAGGCAGUGCUCGCCGGCACAAGUGAGGGUGAUGACUUGGACAUACGGGGCUACACUUCUCCACAGUGCACAAGCUCGCCGUGUCCAUUUGCCUUACUUGAAGUGAGUGUUCUAAAGAAACAUUCUCUAUUCAAUGUGGAUUAG